rnacentral:rRNA from 1 species
CAGUAGCCGCGGGAAUACGAAGGGGGCUAGCGUUGCUCGGAAUUACUGGGCGUAAAGGGAGCGUAGGCGGAUCGUUAAGUUGGGGGUGAAAGCCCGGGGCUCAACCUCGGAACUGCCUUCAAUACUGGCGAUCUUGAGUAUGAGAGAGGUGUGUGGAACUCCGAGUGUAGAGGUGAAAUUCGUAGAUAUUCGGAAGAACACCAGUGGCGAAGGCGACACACUGACUCAUUACUGACGCUGAGGCUCGAAAGCGUGGGGAGCAAACAGGAUUAGAUACCCCCGUAGUCCCUGUCUCUUAUAC